UACGGGGGGGGCAAGCGUUGUUCGGAAUUACUGGGCGUAAAGGGCUCGUAGGCGGCCAACUAAGUCAUACGUGAAAUCCCUCAGCUUAACUGGGGAACUGCGUGUGAUACUGGAUGGCUUGGAUUUGGGAGAGGGAUGCGGAAUUCCAGGUGUAGCGGUGAAAUGCGUAGAUAUCAGAUAGAACACCAAUGGCGAAGGCAGUUGCCUGGCUCAAAACUGACGCUAAAGCACGAAAGUGUGGGGAGCAAACAGG
rnacentral:rRNA from 1 species